CCUACGGGAGGCAGCAGUAGGGAAUUUUGCACAAUGGGCGAAAGCCUGACGCAGCGACGCCGCGUGAUUGAUUAAGCCCUUCGGGGUGUAAAGAGCUGUCAGUGGGGACGAAACUUGACGGUACCCACAGAGGAAGCACCGGCUAACUCCGUGCCAGCAGCGGCGGUAAUACGGAGGGUGCAAGCGUUGUCCGGAAUCAUUGGGCGUAAAGAGUUCGUAGGUGGCAUUUUAAGUCUGGUGGUAAAUGCAGAGGCUCAACUCCUGUUAGGCUCUGGAUACUGGUAAGCUUGAAUGCGGUAGAGGUAAAGGGAAUUCCUGGUGAAGCGGUGAAAUGCGUAGAUAUCGCGCAGAACACCGAUGGCGAAGGCAGCGUACCGGCUCCAGACUGACGCUGAGGCACGAAAGCGUGGGGAUCGAACAGGAUUAGAUACCCUGGUAGUC
rnacentral:rRNA from 1 species